UACUUACUUCAGCAGUAACAAAGUAAAAUUUGAACAAGACAGAGAAGAUUAGGAUGCCCCUGGGCAACAAUCACACACAAAUUCAGGAAGUGGUCCACACUGUA